GACAGAGGGUGCAAACGUUGCUCGGAAUUACUGGGCGUAAAGCGCGUGUAGGCGGGCUGGUAAGUCGGACGUGAAAUCCCUGGGCUCAACCCAGGAACUGCAUCCGAAACUGUCAGUCUGGAGUGGUGGAGAGGGAAGCAGAAUUCCUGGUGUAGAGGUGAAAUUCGUAGAUAUCAGGAGGAACACCGGUGGCGAAGGCGGCUUCCUGGACACUAACUGACGCUGAGACGCGAAAGCGUGGGGAGCAAACAGG
rnacentral:rRNA from 1 species